rnacentral:rRNA from 1 species
UACGGGGGGAGCAAGCGUUGUUCGGAUUUACUGGGCGUAAAGGGCGCGUAGGCGGCGUGACAAGUCACUUGUGAAAUCUCCGGGCUUAACUCGGAACGGUCAAGUGAUACUGUCGUGCUAGAGUACAGAAGGGGCAACUGGAAUUCUCGGUGUAGCGGUGAAAUGCGUAGAUAUCGAGAGGGAACACCUGCGGCGAAGGCGGGUUGCUGGGCUGAUACUGACGCUGAGGCGCGAAAGCCAGGGGAGCGAACGGG